rnacentral:lncRNA from 1 species
CCUUGUGUACAUUUCGUGCUUGUGCGGUUCAUUUUUUUAUGAUUUUGUUAUGUUGACUCUGGAAUUCUAUUUUGAAACUUUUGGAUUGAUAAGACACAGGCUUUCCUAAGUCUUUUAAUAUUCAUCAAACUUCUCAAUUAAUAAACAAUUAAACACGAUUUACAACCUAUUAUCCCUGUAUAAUAUAUAGGACUGGAAAUAUUAUGUUAGCUUAAUUUUCCAGAGUCUGAAUAUUGAAGAGCAUAGCAGUCAGUCCCAUCCCCCAGAUAGUGAGGCAGAGCAGCUUACCCCAAAAAACACUAUAGCGGUAUCACAGGUUGCAAAGCUGCUGCUAUACUGAAAAUAAAGAUACAAUAUAACUAACUAUAGAACACACUUAUG